rnacentral:rRNA from 1 species
GCAUUAUACAGCGAAACUGCGAAUGGCUCAUUAUAUAAGUUAUCGUUUAUUUGAUAGUACCUUACUACUUGGAUAACCGUGGUAAUUCUAGAGCUAAUACAUGCUGAAAAUCCCGACUCCGGAAGGGAUGUAUUUAUUAGAUUAAAAACCAAUGCCCCCUGGGCUCACUGGUGAUUCAUGAUAACUUCUCGAAUCGCACGGCCUCGCGCCGGCGAUGGUUCAUUCAAAUUUCUUCCCUAUCAACUUUCGAUGUUUGGGUAUUGGCCAAACAUGGUCGCAACGGGUAACGGAGGGUUAGGGCUCGACCCCGGAGAAGGAGCCUGAGAAACGGCUACUACAUCCAAGGAAGGCAGCAGGCGCGCAAAUUACCCAAUCCCGAUCCGGGGAGGUAGUGACAAUAAAUACUGAUACAGGGCUCUUUUGGGUCUUGUAAUUGGAAUGAGUACAAUUUAAAUCCCUUAACGAGGAACAAUUGGAGGGCAAGUCUGGUGCCAGCAGCCGCGGUAAUUCCAGCUCCAAUAGCGUAUAUUAAAGUUGUUGUGGUUAAAAAGCUCGUAGUUGAACCUUGGGCCUGGCUGGCCGGUCCGCCUCACCGCGUGCACUGGUCCGGCCGGGCCUUUCCCUCUGUGGAACCCCAUGCCCUUCACUGGGCGUGGCGGGGAAACAGGACUUUUACUUUGAAAAAAUUAGAGUGCUCCAGGCAGGCCUAUGCUCGAAUACAUUAGCAUGGAAUAAUGAAAUAGGACGCGCGGUUCUAUUUUGUUGGUUUCUAGGACCGCCGUAAUGAUUAAUAGGGACAGUCGGGGGCAUCAGUAUUCAAUUGUCAGAGGUGAAAUUCUUGGAUCUAUUGAAGACUAACUACUGCGAAAGCAUUUGCCAAGGAUGUUUUCAUUAAUCAGGAACGAAAGUUAGGGGAUCGAAGACGAUCAGAUACCGUCGUAGUCUUAACCAUAAACUAUGCCGACUAGGGAUCGGACGAUGUUAUUUUUUGACGCGUUCGGCACCUUACGAGAAAUCAAAGUGC